UACCAGACUCCUACGGGAGGCAGCAGUGGGGAAUAUUGGGCAAUGGAGGAAACUCUUACCCAGCAAUGCCGCGUGAAUGAAGAGGGUCUUCGGAUUGUAAAGUUCUUUAAUUGGGGACGAAAAAAAUGACGGUACCCAAGGAAUAAGCCCCGGCUAACUACGUGCCAGCAGCCGCGGUAAUACGUAGGUGGCAAGCGUUAUCCGGAUUUACUGGGUGUAAAGGGCGUGUAGGCGGGGAAGCAAGUCAGAUGUGAAAACCACGGGCGCAACCUGUGGCCUGCAUUUGAAACUGGGUGUCUUGAGGGCAGGAGAGGAAAGUGGAAUUCCUAGUGUAGCGGUGAAAUGCGUAGAUAUUAGGAGGAACACCAGUGGCGAAGGCGACUUUCUGGACUGUACCUGACGCUGAGGCGCGAAAGCGUGGGUAGCGAACGGGAUUAGAUACCCCCGUAAUA
rnacentral:rRNA from 1 species